CCUGGUUGAUCCUGCUAGUAGUCAAAUGCUUAUCUCAAAGAUUAAGCCAUGCAUGUGUAAGUAUGAGCUAAUUCAGACUGUGAAACUGCAAAUGGCUCCUUAAAUCAGUUAUAGUUUGUUUGAUGGUAUCCACUAUUCGGAUAACCGUAGUAAUUCUAGAGCUAAAACGUGCAACAUGUCCUGACUUCCGAAAGAGAUGCAUUUAUUAAAUAAAAGGUCAACGCAGGCUUGUCUCGUUGCUCUGAUGAUUCAUGAUAGCUCGACGGAUUGCACAGCCUUCAUGGUGGCGACACAUCAUUCAAAUUUCUGCCUUAUCAACUUUCGAUGGUAAGAUAGUGGCCUACUAUGGUGGUGACGGGUGAUGGAGAAUUAGGGUUUGAUUCCGGAGAAGGAGCCUAAGAAAUGGCUACCACAUCCAAGGAAGGCAGCAGGCACACAAAUUACCCAAUCCUGACACGGAGAGGUAGUGACAAUAAGUAACAAUACCAAGCUCAUUGAGUUUGGUAGUUGGAAUGAGUAUAAUCUAAAUCCCUUAACGAGGAUCCAUUAGAGGACAAGUCUGGUGCCAGCAGCCGCGAUAAAUCUAGCUCCUGUAGCAUAUAUUUAUGGUUGUAGUUAAAAAGCCACCCUUGGGUGUGCACCAAUCAUCUCGUCCCUUCUACCAGUGAUGCACUCCUAGCCUUAAUUGGUCAAGGUCGUGCCUUUGGCGCUGUUACUUUGAAGAAAUUAGAGUGCUCAAAGCAACCUUAUGCUCUAAAUACAUUAGCUUGGGAUAACAUCAUAGGAUUUCGAUCUUAUUACGUUGGUCUUCAGGAUCGGAAUACUGAUUAACAAUGACAGUCGGGGGCAUUCGUAUUUCAUAGUCGAAGGUGAAAUUCUUGGAUUUAUGAAAGAUGAACAAUUGCGAAAGAAUUUGCCAAGGAUGUUUCCUUAAUCAAGAACGAAAGCUGGGGGCUCGAAGAUGAUCAGAUACCAUCCCAGUCUCAACCAUAAAUGAUGUCGACCAGGGAUCAGAGGAUGUUUCUUUUAGGACUCCACUGGCACCUUAUGAUAAAUCAAAGUUUUUGGGUUCUGGGGGGAGUAUGGUGGCAAGGCUGAAACUUAAAGGAAUUGACGGAAGGGUACCACCAUGAGUGGAGCAUGCGGCUUAUUUUGACUCAACACAGAAAACUUACUAGGUCUAGACAUAGGAUUGAUAAACCAGGAGCUCUUUCUUGAUUCUAUGGGUGGUGGUGCAUGGCUGUUCUUAACGAACGAGACCUUAACCUUCUAACUAGCUAUGUGGAGGUGACCUUCCACAGUUAGCUUCUUAGAGGGACUAUGGCCUUUCAGGACACAAAAGUUUGAGGCAAUAACAAGUCUGUGGUGCCCUUAGAUGUUCUAGGUCGCACGUGCGCUACACUGAUGUAUUCAACAAUCUGUAGUUUUGGCUGACAGGACCGGGUAAUCUUCGAAAUUUCAUCGUGAUGGGGAUAGAUCAUUGCAAUUGUUGGUUUUCAAUGAGGAAUUCCUAGUAAGCGCGAGUCAUCAGCUCGCGUUGACUAUGCCUCUGCCGUUUUUACACUCCGCCCGUUGCUCCUACUAAUUGAAUGGUCUGUGAAGUGUUCGGAUCGCGGUGUUGUGGGUGGUUCGCCGCCAACAACGUCGUGAGAAGUUCACUGAACCUUAUCAUUUAGAGGAAACAGAAGUCGUAACAAGGAUUCCGUACGUGAACCUGCGGAAG
rnacentral:rRNA from 1 species